CCAGACUCCUACGGGAGGCAGCAGUGAGGAAUAUUGGUCAAUGGGCGUAAGCCUGAACCAGCCAAGUCGCGUGAGGGAUGAAGGAUCUAUGGUUCGUAAACCUCUUUUAUAAGGGAAUAAAGUGCGGGACGCGUCCCGCUUCGCAUGUACCUUAUGAAUAAGGAUCGGCUAACUCCGUGCCAGCAGCCGCGGUAAUACGGAGGAUCCGAGCGUUAUCCGGAUUUAUUGGGUUUAAAGGGUGCGCAGGCGGCCCUUUAAGCGGGUGGUGAAAGGCUGCGGCCCAACCGUGGAACUGCAGCGGAAACUGGGGGGCUUGAGUGUGUUGGAGGUAGGCGGAAUUCGUGGUGUAGCGGUGAAAUGCUUAGAUAUCACGAAGAACUCCGAUUGCGAAGGCAGCCUACC
rnacentral:rRNA from 1 species